rnacentral:lncRNA from 1 species
ACGCACCUGUGGUGACCUUUAAGAUGAUGACUUGUGAACAGAUGGCUGCUUGACUGAACAGAGACCUUCUUGCUUUUUACUCCACCCUGAUGUCACUGGGCCCCGUUUGAUGUUUUAUCCCUCCACUGAGCAGUGUGGACAACAUACUGCUGGCUGUCAUCAGAGCGGCUCCAGGGCAGGGGCUUCGGUUGAGUGCAGGCCUCUGGUUGGAGGUUGACGAGGAGUUGAUGGCGCUGGUGGCAGGCCUUGGACAACAGGAUGUCCUGUUUGGCUGCUCAGCAUGGAAAUCAGAGCAGAGACACAGACUCUUGUCUUGUUGAGCAGAGUGAAUCAGCAGAGCAGAU